UAACGAAUCUUCCGCAAUGCGCGAAAGCGUGACGGAGCAAUGCCGCGUGUAGGAUGAAGCCCCUUGGGGUGUAAACUACUGUCAGGGUUUACCAAACCUGAGGAAACCCAAAGGAAGGGCCGGCUAACUUCGUGCCAGCAGCCGCGGUAAUACGAAGGGCCCUAGCGUUGAUCGGAAUCACUGGGCUUAGAGCGUGCGUAGGCGGAUAGGCAAGUACCCUGUGAAAUACCACGGCUCAACCGUGGAAUUGCUCGGUAGACUGCCCGUCUUGAGCUUGUCAGGGGUCGUCGGAACUCUAGGUGGAGCGGUGAAAUGCGUAGAUAUCUAGAGGAACGCCAAAGGUGAAGACAGACGACUGGGGCACAGCUGACGCUGAGGCACGAAAGCGUGGGUAGCGAACGGGAUUAGAUACCCCCGUAGUCC
rnacentral:rRNA from 1 species